rnacentral:lncRNA from 1 species
AUGAACUUUGCCAGUUUUAAAGCACUGGUUCAAAGUUUUCUUUUUUUUAAAAAAAGGGUGAACCAAACAAAACACAUCUGGGAGCCAUAUUUGGUCCUCAGAUGACAAGCUUGCAAUGCCUUGUUUAUAUAUUUGUCUCUCACUUGGUUUCUCUCAUACUUCAUCUCUCCAAAAGCAGUAAUUGCAUUACUCUUUCUGUAUUCUCAGGGCCCAGGAUACUGACCAACUCACAAAAAGGGUCAGGAAAUGUGUGUUGAAAUGAAUAGUACAUUUUGGAAGUGGUCUACUUUGGCAUUAUAGUCCAUGUAGGUUUAUUUGAGGCCCAGCUGGUGACAGCUUUCCAAUUCAAGUUAUGAAGAGCUGGGGAGAGAGCAUAUUUUGACAGCUGAUCAUAAUUCUUGGAAUAUUUUGUCCCAGGGCCCUGGUCUGCCGGGUCUUAGAACUGGGUGCAAAGUCACAUCUUGAAAUUGAUGUUCACGUGAAUUUGAGUUCUUAGUACAGGAAUAGAAUCUAUUCUCUGCCCUGAAGUGAUUUGAUUGUGAAAUGUGUAGCUUUACCAACAAGAACGAAUGAAGUUUAUGUAUACCAUUUAGGGAGGUUUUAAAUUUGGCAGGAAAGUUCCUAAUAAUACAACUUGUUUGGACUUUUCUAUAGAUAAAUUGGGACCCUAACCUUUACCCCAGGAGUGGACAGUGUCAGAACAUGAUUAACCUCUAAGACCGGUAGUCAUCUGUUUUUCAGUGCCAGCAUUACAUGGUAGAAUUUUGUUUUUUGUUUUUUGCAAACCAGUGUAGCCCUUCUUGCUUUCCUGCCUGCAUAAUGGAUUGUUCUGCAUUGCAUAAUUCAUGUCGGGCACCAGGUUUGCUGCACUAGGAUGAGGAAAGGGAUUCAGGUAAUUCAGAUGAGAAAUUUAGUCAGUGCAGUUUUUUUUCUAUCAAGGAGCCAAGAAAGGUCCUCUAUUAAAUUAAAACUAUAAAAUUGUCAGCAAAAGUCCAAUGCAGGGUUAAAAUCUUACUUGGUUUGGACUUGUACUGUGUGUCUUUUCUCUCCUUCUCUAGUCCCCUUUCCCCCUCCAUUUCCAUAUCAGAAUGGAACAUUCCAAUAGACUGUCUAGGAAUUCAAAUUUUAGAUAGGAUAUUCUAUAUGUAAUCCAGAACUUCUGAUGUGAGAUGCAACUUAGGAGAGUUUUCAAGUUUAGACUACUGUAUGCCCCGAUCCACUUCCUUCAUUGUGGUCACUGCUUUUGGAGCACCCAGAAGUCCCCUAGCUUGGCGUGAAGUUUGACUUCUUUCUGCUACUAUAAAAUGCUCAAGGAUAAUGUGGCACAAAAAGCUUAUAUUUCAUGGUGUUUCAGGCUGGGCGAUCCCAGGUUAAAUUUCUGUGCUUUCGUCUUUGUUAAAGAGUUUAGCCAUGUCACAGUGCAAAUGCACAGUUAAGUUCCUCCACAGUGUAUAUGAAACCUGUUUUAUUUCAGUUAGGAUUAGCAGAGCACUCUAGCUGACCCUAAGUGAACUCUAGGUACAUAUGUGAUAAAUGCAUAUUGCUAUAUGCCACUGAGGUUUCGUGAUUGUUAAUUAUAUGGCAUUAUAAUGGCAAUAGGUAACAGAGACAAUGAGAUUCCAUGUUCGAAUGGCUGACACGUGUCCAAAAGCUAUGGGUUAAUUUGGGACUUUGAAUCUUGAGUUUAGGCAAAGAUGGAAAAAAAUCCCCAGUAAUUGUUCAUUCCAGUGUAAGGACAGCAGAUGAGACUGUUGUUUCGGAUACCUACAUCCAAGGAAAUGUCCUGGCUUCUGCCUAUUUGAAUCUAUGAGCCACAUUUAUUAACCCUAUAAAUUUAUUUUUCUUUUAAAAUUAAAAAGAGAAAACUUUUGAAGACACAAAGUGUUAUCUCAAUAUUGAUAUAUUAUACAUGUGUCAUUAUUUAUAAGAGAAAAAUCGGGAAAAUAGGAUGCCCAGCAAAGGAAAAAUUCAUGUAGCUGUUGCCUAGGUAUGUCUCUUCAACUCCGUGGGAAAAUACUGCCAUAGGGAAGAAAGGCCCUGGCUUUCUUAAGCAAUGUGAAUUUGUUUCUGCGACAUUUUAGCUAAAAAUGUAAGCUCAAGAUAUUCUGUGUGAAAUAAAUUAUCCCAAAGAAAGAUAAUUGUGAGAAGAAGCCAUUAAUGGGAAUAAGACAGCUGGUUGUAAGGAUUGGAGGCUUUUUUUUGGUGGAAGGAGCUUAUCCAUGGGGUUUAAUACAACAUGGUGAGUCACCCUGUUGCCUGAAUUCCAGAGGGGAAAGAGACAUUCGGGAAAAGGCUGCGGGGGAAAUUUGCAGUCCUGUGCACCUGUUACCAGGCACUUAUAUUCACCUGAUGGCUGCUAACAGAUUGCAGGCACAGCUUCUUGAAGAAAAUCAUCAACUUUGAACACAGUACCCCACACAUUGGAUUUGGGUGAAUGGAAAGUAUAUCAGAAUUACCUGGGAGAGUUUUCAAGUUAUAGUCACCGGGGCGUGGCUUUAUUAGUGAUUCUGACUCAUGUCUCCCUGCUCAGCACAGUCCUGAUACUCCACCUCCAAAGAGUGGUCCACAGAACAGCCACUUACAUAGAAUCAGGCAGGGUGUUUGUUAAAUAUGGGGAUUACUAGACCCCAUCCCAGACCUACGGGAUCAGAAUCCUGGGGGUGUGGACUCUGUGAAUCCAGUGUUUAAAGGUGCUCUGGCUGAAUGUGGCAAGUCCAGCGUGUGAUGCUCCAGGCUCUAAAAUAUUGGCCUUUCUUCCAGUUAUCUAACAAGUGAUGGUAACAGACCCCACUGUACACUCGAAUGAACACUGAUUGUGGGAGGCAGUCAAGAAUAGAAAGACAAAUUGAGUUAUUUGAGCUGCAAGUUCUUCUAGG